rnacentral:rRNA from 1 species
UACAGAGGUCUCAAGCGUUGUUCGGAUUCAUUGGGCGUAAAGGGUGCGUAGGUGGCGCGCUAAGUCAGGUGUGAAAUUUCGGAGCUUAACUCCGAAACUGCAUUUGAUACUGGCGUGCUUGAGGACUGGAGAGGAGACUGGAAUUCAUGGUGUAGCAGUGAAAUGCGUAGAGAUCAUGAGGAAGACCAGUGGCAAAGGCGGGUCUCUGGACAGUUCCUGACACUGAGGCACGAAGGCCAGGGGAGCAAACGGG